rnacentral:rRNA from 1 species
AGUGAACGCUGGCGGCAGGCCUAACACAUGCAAGUCGAACGGCAGCACGGCAGUAGCAAUACUGUGGGUGGCGAGUGGCGGACGGGUGAGGAAUACAUCGGGAUCUACCCUGUUGUGGGGGAUGACGUAGGGAAACUUACGCUAAUACCGCAUAAGAACUGAGGUUGAAAGCGGCGGACCGCAAGGCGUCGCGCGAUUGGAUGAACCGAUGUCCGAUUAGCUAGUUGGCGGGGUAAAGGCCCACCAAGGCGACGAUCGGUAGCUGGUCUGAGAGGACGACCAGCCACACUGGAACUGAGACACGGUCCAGACUCCUACGGGAGGCAGCAGUGGGGAAUAUUGGACAAUGGGCGCAAGCCUGAUCCAGCCAUGCCGCGUGGGUGAAGAAGGG